UGCAAACUGCGAAUACCGGAGAAUGUUAUCACGGGAGACACACGGCGGGUGCUAACGUCCGUCGUGAAGAGGGAAACAACCCAGACCGCCAGCUAAGGUCCCAAAGUCAUGGUUAAGUGGGAAACGAUGUGGGAAGGCCCAGACAGCCAGGAUGUUGGCUUAGAAGCAGCCAUCAUUUAAAGAAAGCGUAAUAGCUCACUGGUCGAGUCGGCCUGCGCGGAAGAUGUAACGGGGCUAAACCAUGCAC
rnacentral:rRNA from 1 species